GAUGAAGAACGCAGCGAAAUGCGAUACUUGGUGUGAAUUGCAGAAUCCCGUGAACCAUCGAGUCUUUGAACGCAAGUUGCGCCCGAAGCCAUUAGGCCGAGGGCACGCCUGCCUGGGCGUCACACGUCGUUGCCCCCCCAUCUACUCCUUCGGGAUUGCGGGGGGCGGAUGAUGGCCUCCCGUGCGCCUCGCCGCGCGGUUGGCAUAAAUGCCAAGUCCUCGGCGACGCACGCCACGACAAUCGGUGGUUGCGAAACCUCGGUUGCCCGUCGUGUGCGGUCGUCGCGCAUCGAGGGCUCGAAAAAAUUGCCGGGUUCCGGCUCGGCUUUCAACGCGACCCCAGGUCAGGCGGGGUUACACGCUGAAUUUAAGCAUAUCAAUAAGCGGAGGA
rnacentral:misc_RNA from 1 species